AGUGGCGGACGGGUGAGUAACGCGUGAGAAUCUGCCUUGGGGUCGGGGACAACCACUGGAAACGGUGGCUAAUACCGGAUACGCCUUCGGGUAAAAGAUUUAUUGCCCUAAGAGGAGCUCGCGUCUGAUUAGCUAGUUGGUGAGGUAAGAGCUCACCAAGGCAGCGAUCAGUAGCUGGUCUGAGAGGACGAUCAGCCACACUGGGACUGAGACACGGCCCAGACUCCUACGGGAGGCAGCAGUGGGGAAUUUUCCGCAAUGGGCGAAAGCCUGACGGAGCAAGACCGCGUGAGGGAGGAAGGCUCUUGGGUUGUAAACCUCUUUUCUCAGGGAAGAAGCUCUGACGGUACCUGAGGAAUCAGCCUCGGCUAACUCCGUGCCAGCAGCCGCGGUAAUACGGAGGAGGCAAGCGUUAUCCGGAAUUAUUGGGCGUAAAGCGUCCGCAGGUGGCGAUUCAAGUCUGCUGUCAAAGCACGGGGCUUAACUCCGUAAAGGCAGUGGAAACUGAAUAGCUAGAGUGCCGUAGGGGUAUAGGGAAUUCCCGGUGUAGCGGUGAAAUGCGUAGAGAUCGGGAAGAACAUCGGUGGCGAAAGCGCUCUACUGGACGGCAACUGACACUCAGGGACGAAAGCUAGGGGAGCGAAUGGGAUUAGAUACCCC
rnacentral:rRNA from 1 species